ACCUGGCUGGCUCAGUUGGUGGAGUGGAGGACUCUUGAUCUCAGGGUUGUGGGUUCGAGCCCCACAUUGGGUA
rnacentral:tRNA from 1 species